AGCUGCCUGGAAGGUAGAACUAAACACAGACAUAGAUAUCAAGCAUUGGGGUUCUUCACUGGAAGUUUCGAAGACUAUACAUUCGCUAAAUUUACUAGAAACCCACUUUAAGGUUUUAAAUAGAUGGUACUUAGUACCAGAUAAAUUGAACAAAAUGUACCCCACAAUAAAUCACUUGUGUUGGAGAUGCGGCUUAACUACAGGUACUUUUAAGCAUAUAUGGUGGGAG